rnacentral:tRNA from 1 species
GCGGGCGUAGUUAUUAAUGGUAAAAUUCAGGUUUCCCAAGCUUGAGAUGUGGGUUCGAGCCCCAUCGCCCGCU